UAGAGAGUAGAGAAAGAGGCGAUCAUAUAACCUAGCUAAACAGUGAGAGGAGAAGAGCAUCAACUAGGUAACAGAGAGUAGAGAGAGAGGAGCCGACCUGUGUGUUGCUGACCAGGCUGCGUCCGCUGCUGUAUGUGCUGCAAAGGUGCUGCGGCUACUGCUGCUGGUGCCGCAAAGCCAACCUUAUUAUUUUCCUUCUAUGGAUGGCACAGAUGACCGCAUGUAUGUACCGGUACCACAAGAUCAACGUUACCAUUUUCCUUGUAUGGAUGGCACAGAAGACAAUAUGUAUGUAUUGGCACGGGUUAGCACAAUGCAAAUGGUGAACAAUAUUGGAAGCACAUCUCAUACUCAACCAGGAAUAGUUAACAAUAUAAGUAGUCAAAGUUCUACGGUAACAUCAAAAUUUGUUGAGUUUAAUAUAAAUGCCUAUCCAA